GAGACAAAGAGAGGGCAUGUACCUGGAGACUUUAAGAAAGAGGGCUUGGGGAGAGCUCUCCAGCCUGCCUCCUCUCACAGCAGCAGGAACAGGACAACACUGAGCAAAUGUUUCCCACGUGGUUGGACCCCCAACCAGGAUGGAACACACAACCAGGAUGGAACACACAACCAGGAUGGAACACGCAACCAGGAUGGAACACGCAACCAGGAUGGAACACGCAACCAGGAUGGAACACGCAACCAGGAUGGAACACGCAACCAGGAUGGAACACACAACCAGGAUGGAACACACAACCAGGAUGGAACACGCAACCAGGAUGGAACACGCAACCAGGAUAGAACACGCAACCAGGAUGGAACACGCAACCAGGAUGGAACACA